rnacentral:rRNA from 1 species
AACGAACGCUGGCGGCAGGCUUAACACAUGCAAGUCGAACGCCCCGCAAGGGGAGUGGCAGACGGGUGAGUAACGCGUGGGAACAUACCCUUUCCUGCGGAAUAGCUCGGGGAAACUGGAAUUAAUACCGCAUACGCCCUACGGGGGAAAGAUUUAUCGGGGAAGGAUUGGCCCGCGUUGGAUUAGCUAGUUGGUGGGGUAAAGGCCUACCAAGGCGACGAUCCAUAGCUGGUCUGAGAGGAUGAUCAGCCACAUUGGGACUGAGACACGGCCCAAACUCCUACGGGAGGCAGCAGUGGGGAAUAUUGGACAUGGGCGCAAGCCUGAUCCAGCCAUGCCGCGUGAGUGAUGAAGGCCUUAGGGUUGUAAAGCUCUUUCACCGAUGAAGAUAAUGACGGUAGUCGGAGAAGAAGCCCCGGCUAACUUCGUGCCAGCAGCCGCCGUAAGAC